rnacentral:rRNA from 1 species
ACACGUAGGGGGCAAGCGUUGUUCGGAAUUACUGGGCGUAAAGGGCAUGUAGGCGGUUUGGUAAGCCUGACGUGAAAGGCUAUGGCUCAACCAUGGCACGGCGUUGGGAACUGCUAGACUUGAGUCACGGAGAGGGAGCUGGAAUUCCAGGUGUAGGGGUGAAAUCUGUAGAUAUCUGGAAGAACACCAGUGGCGAAGGCGAGCUCCUGGCCGAUGACUGACGCUGAGGUGCGAAAGUGUGGGGAUCAAACAGGAUUAGAGACCCUGGUAGUCCACACUGUCAACGAUGUGCACUAGGUGCUGGGGCGGACGCUUCAGUGCCGGAGCUAACGCGGUAAAUGCACCGCCUGGGGAGUAUGCUCGCAAGGGUGAA